rnacentral:lncRNA from 1 species
CCCGCCCCUGCCCGAUACGUUACUUCCGGGGCGGGGCGGGCAGAGGGGCCCGGAUGUGCCGCCGUUUUUUUUCUUUACUGAGGCGCCGGCGGUGUUCUUGGUCGCGUCAGCCUGCUGGCUUUUCGCUUUCCUGGACGCUUCAGGGCUCCGCGGCCUGCGCUGGACUGGAGGGUCCGCGUCACUCUCGCCCUCCUGCUUUCCGCGCUCUGACCCACUCCCGCCUCCUGAGGAAUGAUUGGAAGAGACAUGGAAUAACACAUUUGUAUCUGAACUACUUGAAGAGAAAUCUGAAGCCCUGAUUAUAUAUAUAGAUUAUGCAUUUCGCGGGGACAUCCAGUAGUUCAAGGUUACAAUGAGCUGUGAUCGUGCCGCUGCACUCUACCCUGGGUGACAGAGUGGGACCCUGUGCCACAGAGUGAGACCCUGUCUCAAAAAAAAAAAAACAACUAUGUAAAUCCAAGGUAUGAUUUAAAUACUUUUAACACGUGUUCAUUU